GCCUGGGUGGCUGUGUCAGUUAAGCAUCUGACUUCAGCUCAGGUCAUGAUCUCACACUUGGUGAGUUCGAGCCCCACGCCGGGCU
rfam:Felis catus isolate Cinnamon breed Abyssinian chromosome B2, whole genome shotgun sequence.